AUUGAACGCUGGCGGCAUGCUUUACACAUGCAAGUCGAACGGCAGCACGGGGGCGAACCCUGGUGGCGAGUGGCGAACGGGUGAGUAACACAUCGGAACGUGCCCAGUUGUGGGGGAUAACCUAUCGAAAGGUAGGCUAAUACCGCAUGAGCUCGGCGAGAGGAAAGCGGGGGACCCAGCGAUGGGCCUCGCGCGACUGGAGCGGCCGAUGUCCGAUUAGCUAGNGGUGGGUAAGGCUUACCAAGGCGACGAUCGGUAGCUGGUCUGAGAGGAUGAUCAGCCACACUGGGACUGAGACACGGCCCAGACUCCUAC
rnacentral:rRNA from 1 species